AUUGAACGCUAGCGGGAUGCCUUACACAUGCAAGUCGAACGAGUGGCGAACGGGUGAGUACUGUAUCGGAACGUGCCCAGUAGCGGGGGAUCACUACGCGAAAAGUAGCUAAUCCCGCAUACUAUUGGAGCGGCCGAUCUCUGAUUGGAUAGUUGGUGGGGUACCGGCUAACCAAGGCGACGAUCCGUAGCUGGUUUGAGAGGACGACCAGCCACAUUGUGACUGGGACACGGCCCAGACUCCUACGGGAGGCAGCAGUGGGGAAUUGUGGACAAUGGGGGAAACCCUGAUCCAGCCAUCCCGCGUGGGCGAGGAAGGGCUUCGGGUUGGAAAGCACGUUCAGUCGGGAGGCGUUACCGACAGAAGAAGCACCGGCUAACUCCGUGCCAGCAGCCGCGGUAAUUC
rnacentral:rRNA from 1 species